AUUGAACGCUGGCGGCAGGCUUAACACAUGCAAGUCGAGCGAGCGGCGGACGGGUGGGUAAUGUCUGGGAAACUGCCUGAUGGAGGGGGAUAACUACUGGAAACGGUAGAUAAUACCGCAUAACAGCAGCUGUGACCAGAUGGGAUUAUCUAGGAGGUGGGGUAAUGGCUCACCUAGGCGACGAUCCCUCGCUGGUCUGAGAGGAUGACCCGCCACACUGGAACUGAUACACGGUCCAGACUCCUACGGGAGGCAGCAGUGGGGAAUAUUGCACAAUGGGCUCAAGCCUGAUGCAUCCAUGCCGCGUGUGUGAAGAAGGCCUUCGGGUUGUAAAGCACUUUCAGCGAGGAGGCGUUACUCGCAGAAGAAGCACCGGCUAACUCCGUGCCAGCAGCCGCGGUAAUUC
rnacentral:rRNA from 1 species